rnacentral:rRNA from 1 species
GAUGAACGCUAGCGGGAGGCCUAACACAUGCAAGCCGAGCGGUAUUGUUUCUUCGGAAAUGAGAGAGCGGCGUACGGGUGCGGAACACGUGUGCAACCUGCCUUUAUCUGGGGGAUAGCCUUUCGAAAGGAAGAUUAAUACUCCAUAAUAUAUUGAACGGCAUCGUUUAAUAUUGAAAGCUCCGGCGGAUAGAGAUGGGCACGCGCAAGAUUAGCUAGUUGGUGAGGUAACGGCUCACCAAGGCAAUGAUCUUUAGGGGGCCUGAGAGGGUGAUCCCCCACACUGGUACUGAGACACGGACCAGACUCCUACGGGAGGCAGCAGUGAGGAAUAUUGGGUCAAUGGGUGCAAGCCUGAACCAGCCAUCCCGCGUGAAGGACGACUGCCCUAUGGGUUGUAAACUUCUUUUGUAUAGGGAUAAACCUUUCCACGUGUGGAAAGCUGAAGGUACUAUACGAAUAAGCACCGGCUAACUCCGUGCCAGCAGCCGCGGUAAUGUAUCG